AUGCUGGCUCCCUUAGGUGACUGCAGACGUUUUUAGGGCAGAGCAUGCAGUAGAGUGUUUCACCUUUUCCCUUUAUGCAAGCUUGUCCCCAUCAUCCACAAUUCUGGGAUGAUCGGCUUGUGAAUAGCCACAGGUUUCGUUGGCACAGAGGCACCUGGUAUAUAUGCUUCUGUCUUUCCUGGGCCCCUGAUUUUGGAGGAUCUCCUGCCCUCUUCUGGCGUACAGAGCCUGAGGAUAGGAAAACACUUAGCAACUGAGGUGGGUUGGGGAGGAUGGCAGUACAGUUCAAGGGAAAACUCCAGAACCAGUGAGACAUCUGUGUGCUCAGCAUGCUCUUUACAUGUCCAGUGCUGUCAGGACUGAGGUGUAUGCCUGCCAGGAUCAGUCUCCUAGUCAGUCGGUUGUGACCACCAGCAUUCCUUGCUCCUUUGUGAAGCAUUUCCUAAGCUGGGUGCUGACUUAGCCAUUGGCUUAAUAGUGCUAGAAUGUCUGCCUGUAGCUGUUCAGUGUGGUCAUUCAUCCUCCUGCACCACUGCUUGGUGCCCAAGUACAGCUCAGGCUGUCCUCAAUGCAGGGAGUUCCCGUGAGGCGCCAGCAGGGGCUGCCAGACACUAGUUCAGUUUCCUUUCCAGGUGCUGCACUGUGCCCCUUCAUGGCCAGUCCUCCAGGAACUUUACCUCAAGUCUAACGGUAUUUCCAUUUCAGAAAGGCCAGUGAAUGCCCUGCAGAACCUGAGGUUACUAGACCUUUCUUCCAACCCAUCAAUUGAUGAAAGCCAGCUGUGCCUGAUAGCAUAUCUCCCAAGAUUAGAACACCUACUCCUUUCUGACAUUGGACUUUCUUCUAUACAUUUUCCAGAUGCUGAAAUUGGUAAAUAAGAUUAGUAAUGUCCCUCCCUCCUUGUUAGCUGUUUCUUUCACUCCUACUGUGCAGUUUCAUUUUUAUUGUUUUAGGGUGCAAAACAUCCAUGUUCCCGGCCUUGACGUACCUCAUAGUCAAUGACAACCAGAUAUCAGAAUGGUCAUUUAUCAAUGAGCUGGAUAAAUUACAGAGCCUGCAGGCCCUGUCCUGUGCUAGAAACCCUUUGACCAAAGGAGACAAAGCAGAG
rnacentral:lncRNA from 1 species